GCAUGAGCCACCGCGCCCGGCCAGCCUCAUUCUUUUUAACUCUUGCAUAGUAUUCUAUGGUAGAAAUGGAACACCAUUAACCAUUUCCCUCUUGACGAACCUUUAGGUUGUUUUCAGUUUUUGGCUAUUACUAAAAUGCUGUCUUGAAAUCCUUGUAGAUGUCUUUUUGUGCAUGUAGUAGUUAUAUAAUUUUUACUUCAGUAUAUAUGCAUUUUAUUUUUUAUUAUCUUUUAUGGAGACAGGGUCUCACUUCCUUGCCCGGGCUGGAGUGCAGUGCUGUGAUCAUGGCUCACUGCAUCCUCCUCCUUUUGGGCUCAAGUGAUCCUCCCACCUCAGCCUCAUGAGUAGCCGGGACCACAGGCAUGUGCCACCAUGUCUGGCUAAUUUUUUGUAGAGAUGGUGUUUCACUCUAUUGCCCAGGCUGAUCUCAAACUCCUGGACUCACGUGAUCUGCCCACCUCAGCCUCCCAAAGUGUUGGGAUUACAGGCAUGAGCCACCAUGCCUGGCCAAUGAUGUUUUUAAAUGCUGCUAAUAAUAACGUACAAAAUUCAGAAAAUAUAGAUAAAUAAAAAUAGGAAACAAAAACCACCAUAUACCACGGCCUAGAGACAAUCGGAGGUCCCUUCAAUACCUACACUGGAGGAGGAAAGAAGCCCCCUCCCCCGGAGAAUCUUCCACCCAUUGCAGGGGUCUGCUGUGAUUUGGGCUCUGUUCUGCUGACAAGGUGGAGCCUGUCAUCUAUCCCAGACAGAAUUAUUGCCUCAGAUUACAUGGUUGAUUAUCAAUUACUUGUGUUCGUAUGAGAGCAUGUGUGCGUGUGUGCAUAAGUGUCUUUGCAAAUCAUUAAGGGUCGUAAUUCUGGAUUAUCAUUGAUUAACGUGAGGGAGGCCUGGUACCUCCAGCAGCCGGGAUGGCAGGCCCGCAAUUAUGUCCCAGCUGAUCAGUAAUUGGCGUAUCACAAGAUGAUUUCUCUCUCGGCUGCCUACCCCCAGCCUCUCCUGUCGGCUUCACAAUUAGCACCAUUGCUCAUUCCCUUCCAGCUCAGGCCAAAUGCAGAAGCCUGCUUUCUGGCAAGGGGAAGCCGUGGGGCUGUCUUGAAGACCACCACCCAAAUAGAGUGGGGAUGGUGGUGUGGGGUCGGUGGCAGAGGCACAAUGCGGGGGAGUGGUGCCGGCUUGAACUCUAGCUUCCUGAUGUCUGGUGCUGCCUUUGUGUCUUAUCCUGCUUCCCAGCAAGCUCAGGCACCAUUGACCCACCCUCAUUGCAUGGAUGGGGAAACUGAGAACCAGAGAAGGAAUAUGGCAAAUUAGAAAAAAAAAAAACAUCCAAAAGCAAUAAUUCAGGGCAACAUGGCCACACGGGUCCAAGCCCAAAGAGCCCAGGAGGAAGCAGAGCUAUAGAAGGAGCACCCCGACCAUCACUCCUAUCCUCGGGAAGCUGUCAGGUCGCCACUGGUUGUGUCAGUUUCCUUGAGCAACACAAGCUUUUAGCCUCCAGAGAUUGCACAUAGAUGCACAGAGCUCCCCGGGGUGGGGAGGAAGCGUACUGAGGAAUGUGCAGGUGUACUCCCUGCUGGAUUAUGAAAACGGCUUCCUCAUGGUUCUCCCCACUUCCAGACUGGGCCCCCAAUCUAUCCUCCUGUCCAGCCUGCACAACGAACUCCCUGUUGCUCUCAGUUCAGGUCUUCUCGUGCCCUCUUUUGCCCUAGCCUGGUUGAUCCAUCACAGACCCCUCCUUGUCCUGGCUCCCUUAUCUCCUGUCCUUUGCCCAAUCUGAUCCCUCCCCCUAAAGCCCCUGUCCCCUCCUCCCACACUCUUUUGGCUUGGAGCACACACCCUUGGGGGAGGUUUUAAUACAGGUGCCCCCACUUGGGCUCCACUCCUGAGAAAGGAAUUCUGACCUCCCUAGGAACCAGCAGAUACAGAAGCAAAAACUUUAGGGAUGGCUUUGGAGGCGUGUGAAAGGAUGGAGAAGGCAGGGCUGUUCCAGAAACCUUCCACAUAAAAGACUCUCCCAUGGCUGCAAAGCCACCAGGCAGUUUGUUUCUGAGCCUUGCAGCUGUCUUGGCCAUUUUCAUUUUUAUCUACUUAGGUUGGUCAGCGGGUCAUGGCAAGCAGGAGACACAAUGCUAAUGACUCCGGCUCCACGUGGCGACCAUUCAGGAAAAAGCUGCAAUGUUCUCUCUGCCACAUUAAUCAGAGAAACACAUCAAGAGUUGUUGCGUGGAGACAGCUUUCCUCCCAGUACUCGCCCUGCAUACUAAUCACCACCCCCUCCUGGCGGUGAGUCAGCUCCAAACCAGGCCGGUGGUGGUAAGGGAAGGCCAGAAACACCAGCUCCAUCCACGUGGGGAGCAGCUGGAGGAGCGGGAGCCAGGCCCUCCACCGCCCAACAUGCACUGUGUGUGACCAUCAUGGAGGCCUGAGAUGCGGUUUCACUCUGUUGCCCAGGCUAGAGUGCACUAAUACAAUCAUAGCUUACUGCACCCUCAACCUCCUGGGCUCAAGCAAUCCUCCUGCCUCAGCCUCAUGAGUAGCUGGGACUACAGGCACCACUGUGGACCCCUGCUCUGCACCCCCAGGAGGAGUGGGACUGCUUCAAGGGCAGCCUGGAGGAAAGAGGUGUGGUGUGAACACAUACAACAUGUUCCUUAACCAGGAAGGCGACUGGAGUCUUUACCUGGUUUCAAAGCAGCCAAGCCUAGAGGCCCCCACCCCUUGUUCUUUAUUAUGAUUGCCCUUUGACCCCAACCCCCCAAUUCUUUCCUCUCCAGAUCCCCAGCCAUGCAUACUCCAACUUGGUUCUGCAAAGAAUACCCAGCCACAGCUGUGAACUUGGGGAAACACAUUUUUUCUUUUUCUUUUCUUUUCUUUUUUUUUUUUUUUUGAGAGGGAGUCUCACUCUGUUGCCCAGGCUGAGGUACAGUGGCGUGAUCUUGACUCACUGCAACCUCCACCUCCCAGGUUCAAGCAAUUCUUCUGCCUAAGCCUCCUGAGUAGCUAGGACUACAGGCAUGUGCCACCACCCCCAGCUAAUUUUUGUAUUUUUAGUAGAGAUGGGGUUUCACCAUGCUGGCCAGGCUGGGCUUGAACUCCUGGCCUCAAGCAGUCCUCUCACCUUGCCUCCCAAGGUGCUAGGAUUAUAGGCUUGAGCCACCAUGCAUGUGCACGGCCAGCACAUUCAUUUUCUAUACAUAACUGUCUCCCAGCUCUUCAGGCCAACUUACCUGAUAAUGAUAAAAAUAACUAAGCUGCCAUGGAUUGGGCAGUGUGCCAAGUGCUCCAUGUAUAUUACCUUACUUAGUUUUCACAAACUCUAUGAGGUAGGUACCACUAUUAUUUACAGGUGAGGAAAUGGAGGCUCAGAGAGGUUAAGUGAAUUGAUCCAGGCCACACAGCUGGUAAGCGCCAGAGCCACUAGUGGACGCCAGGUCCAGCCAGCCCCCAGAGCCCAUGUGCUGAGCCACUGUGCUAUACUGACUCCCACUUAAUUCUCUCUUCUGGGUUGUCCCAAAGACCAAGUUCGGCUGGCCAAUUUUCCAGGACCAUCUCUCAUGGCACCUGGAGGCUUGUAGGUUCCUGGAGGACUCUCACACCUCCUUCCCACCCUUCUCCAGAUUCUCCAACUCCCUCUUGAGCAGACCCGGCCCCACUCUGGGGCACCCUGCCUUCCUGGGACCUGUCGUAACAGUCACCCACUCUGCCAGGGCCUGGCUGACCCAGGCUGGGGACCGUGGGACCCCUCUGGGCAGUGCCCCCCUACCUGGGCCCAGGUGGGUAUGGAUUUCUUUCUUCUGGGCCAUUGCACCCGCCAGAAGGUGCGGUGGGAGAGGCAGGCCCACAUUUCAGAGGGCCUUGCUGCCCCCAUGUGGCAUGAGGCUGUAGCGGCUGCAGCCUCCUCUUCCCUCCCUCCUGCCACUGCUCCCGAAGCCAAGGCUUUUGCAGGGUUGAAAAGGAAGAGAAAGAGGAGAAGCAGGAAUGUGAGAGAAAUGAGGCAGAGGGAUGGGCUAGGGAAGAGAGAAGCCCUUCUGCGUUACCUGGAAAUGCAGCAACAAUAAUAACAAAGCCAAUGUUAGGAAUGUUUAAAGGCAGCUGCCACAUAGCACUUUUUAUAGCUUGUAGACUCUCUCAUUUAAUCCUGGCACUUACAUCAAUCUGAUUAGUAGCUAUUAUUAGUUUUAUAGGUGAUGAUCCAAGGCGCAAUUAUUUGUUCCCCAGCUAGUAGGUGACAGAGCCCAGAUUGAAUCUGACUCCAGAACCCUAACCACGAUAUUCCCCUGUCUAGAAGGAGCCAGUUCUCUCCUGCAACCCCCACUGCUCAGCCUCUAGGAGUUCCAGCCACCAGCCACCUGCACCCUCCCUUCCAUGUGGCUUUGCCCUCUGUUCUUCUCCUCUCCACUCUCUCUCCAAGGUCCAAGUGGUCAAGGUCAUCCCAAGGGUCUGCUGGGACCGUGUGUCCUUAUUCUGUGCCUUGCUGGUCGCCAACCUUCCCCAUCUGCCAAGGACUGAUGUCCAGCCCAGGCCCAGGUGCAGGUGCCCAGGUCAUUUUUGCCACUGAGUAAAGGGAGACAGAAUGACAGGGUAAAUUACCAACCACCAGAACACCAUGGAGCCAAUAGCAUCAAUGCAAGUGAAGUAUAUUUAUCUGUUGGCCUGAAAACAUGUCCUAGUAUAUUGUCCCAUUAAGCAAAAAGCAGGUUAUAAAGCUGUGUACAUUAA
rnacentral:lncRNA from 10 species